GUUUUGGUGGUGAAAUCUGUCUGGCUAGACGACGCUGGCGGCGUGCUUAACACAUGCAAGUCGAGUGCGCGGUUGUAGCAAUACAACUGGCGCACGGCGCACGGGUGCGUAACACGUGGGCAAUCUGCCCUUCGAUGGGGAAUAACUCCGGGAAACCGAAGCUAAUUCCGCAUAACAUUCCUUGGACCUCGGUUCGAGGACUCAAAGCCGUAAGGCGUCGAAGGAGGAGCCCGCGCACGAUUAGCUAGUUGGUAGGGUAACGGCCUACCAAGGCUUUGAUCGUUAGCUGGUCUGAGAGGAUGGCCAGCCACACUGGAACUGAGACACGGUCCAGACUCCUACGGGAGGCAGCAGUGGGGAAUCUUGCACAAUGGGCGAAAGCCUGAUGCAGCGACGCCGCGUGGGGGAUGAAGCAUUUCGGUGUGUAAACCCCUUUCGACCCGGACGAAUGCCUCGCAAGAGGAGUGACGGUACGGGUAUAAGAAGCCCCGGCUAACUACGUGCCAGCAGCCGCGGUAAGACGUAGGGGGCCAGCGUUGUUCGGAAUUACUGGGUGUAAAGGGUUCGUAGGCGGUGUGGCAAGUUGGGAGUGAAAUCUCUGGGCUCAACCCAGAGGCUGCUUCCAAAACUGCUGUGCUUGAGUGUGGGAGAGGCGCGUGGAAUUGCAGGUGUAGCGGUGAAAUGCGUAGAUAUCUGCAGGAACACCCGUGGCGAAAGCGGCGCGCUGGACCACAACUGACGCUGAGGAGCGAAAGCGUGGGGAGCAAACAGGAUUAGAUACCCUGGUAGUCCACGCCGUAAACGUUGGGCGCUAGGUGUGGGCCACAUUCCACGUGGUCUGUGCCGCAGCUAACGCAUUAAGCGCCCCCGCCUGGGGGAGUACGGCCGCAAGGCUAAAACUCAAAGA
rnacentral:rRNA from 1 species